GACGAACGCUGGCGGCGUGCUUAACACAUGCAAGUCGAACGGAAAGGCCCUGCUUUUGUGGGGUGCUCGAGUGGCGAACGGGUGAGUAACACGUGAGUAACCUGCCCUUGACUUUGGGAUAACUUCAGGAAACUGGGGCUAAUACCGGAUAGGAGCUCCUGCUGCAUGGUGGGGGGUGGAAAGUUUCGGCGGUUGGGGAUGGACUCGCGGCUUAUCAGCUUGUUGGUGGGGUAGUGGCUUACCAAGGCUUGGGCGGGUAGCCGGCCUGGGAGGGUGACCGGCCACAUUGGGACUGAGGUACGGCCCAGCCUCCUACGGGAGGCAGCAGUGGGGAAUAUUGCACAAUGGGCGGAAGCCUGAUGCAGCAGCGCCGCGUGCGGGAUGACGGCCUUCGGGUUAUAAACCGCUUUCGCCUGUGACGAAGCGUGAGUGACGGUAAUGGGUAAAGAAGCACCGGCUAACUACGUG
rnacentral:rRNA from 1 species